GUUUAAUUAGCGCGAAUGACCACCAAUGGCAGCUUACAAUGUUGCCUGCUUAUUUGGUCGGCCAGCUGAGUGGUCGCGCUGAAUUCAACGAAUUGUUGUUACUUGAUGGGUUGGUUGGUUUGCCUACAGACUAAAAGCUAAAGACUGCUGAGUCGGAGUGUGGUUAAUGGAAACGUAGAAAAUAGUUGGAGUAAAUUGGUAAUAAUAAAGUUUUUUAUUAUAAAAUCACAUUAAAUUUGAGCAGACUAUGCGGCACGGCAGAUGGUGGCUAAUAGAGUUUAGAUUUGUUCUACGAUUUGCUCUACGGCUUUUUAAGUGAUAAUACUGAUUUUUAAAUUUGCUGAAGCCGACAUAAUUUUUUUUUAUUUAAAAGAGUUGCUUGUGCUGUUAAAAAUUCGUUAAAAUUUUGUAGCGGCGCUUUGAUGAAAAAAGUGCAUUGAUAUGAAUUUCCCUCAUGCCCUUGCGAAAGGUCAACACAAAUGCCAUUGUUGGUGCAUGGACUGGGCGUACAAGCGUCAAUCUCCUCACAGUGGGGACCAGCAAAACCGCUGCAGCACUGGCACUCAUACUCCUCCAUCGCUGAAUUUGAGUAGCACACACCUUUGCCAGAGCAUUCAGCGCUUUCGCCACAAUUGUCGGUUUUUGCGGUGACCUUCAGACGAACACACUGCGUGCCCCACAACUCGGAAACAACUGCAGUGCGAGAAAAUAUUAUAGUUAUAUAUGUGGUAGUUGAAGCAAGCAGCGUGAAAUUGAAAAAUAUUUGUUAGAAAAUGCACACUUGCAUUCUUGUAAGUAAAUAAGUAGUGUAAAGUGCUUGCGUAUAAAUUGUAGAAAUUAUGUUAAAAACAAACGAAAAAAAAAAACUUUGGCAAGUGUUGAAAAUGAAAAA